AGGGUUGUGGCUCAGUGGUAGAGUGAGCGCUUGUCUAGCGUGUGUGAGGCACUGGGUUUGAUUCUCAGCAUCACAU
rnacentral:tRNA from 1 species